CCUUUCCUUGGAGCUGUGACGCCUCUCCUCACCGCCACUCUGGCCGUCACACCUCCUCUGCCUCACCCGCUCAGGGCAGGGAGCAUCACCGUAGCUCAAAACUGGGUCUGAGAAGACCUUUCCCGCCAGCACAACUGCGUUUGCAAACAGACGCUCGCCUGAGAUCCCGCGAGAUCUCUCCGCUCUGUUCCUUAGGCACGAAAUGCGCAAGCGCAAAACUUGGCGGUCGUUUCCUUUUCGUGAAUGAGGCUUCAUUUCACAGAUCCAGAACAAAGCAAAGCAACCAACAUAUUCUCAUGAAGCAAAGCUUGAAAAAGUCUGACUUGAGAUUUGAAGUGACUGGCUUUAUCAACACUUUGGCAAAUUUUAUAUUAGUCGAUCAGAAAAUAAGAUCUCCAGGCUUUGUAGAAUCUCUACAAAUGUGCAAGUUCUCUAACUACAAAUGUGCAAGUUCCUGAUCUUCAGCUGAGAAUAUCCAAGAUUGCUAAGAUUCAAAAAGACAGAAUUUUUGUUAAAAAUAUCUCAUAUUUUGUGUAAGGAUAUGGUAGGAAGGUGGCAACGGAUAAUUUUCUUCUCUCACUAAACAAGGAAAAGUAGCAGCAAUCUUGCAGAAACCACUUUUGGUGGCUGCCAACUUCCCUUGACUUGUGCCUGUAUCACUCCAAUCACCAAGACAAGCCUCUUCAAAUGUCUCUGUUGAAUCUUCAUAUCACCUCCUCUUUGAUUAGAAUCUCACUCUUGUAAGUAUACAUGUAUUGCAUUUAGAGCUCAGCCAGUUAUUCCAAGAUAAACUCCCCAUGUCAAGAUCACUCUUGCAGUCAAAACUACAAAAAGCCUAGAUAUUUUUGCUUUGUUUUGUUUUACUUUUUGGGCAAAUAAGGGAACAUUCACAGGUUCUAGGGAUUAGGACAUGUGUAUAUUUUAGGGGUUAAUUUGUUCUGUUGGCCACAGUAGGCAUUUAGCAAGUAUCCAAGUUUCUGCUAAAAAGUUUUGCUAGUACAAAAAUAAAAGUCCUAUUGACUUUCU